GGAAGCAAGAAGCUCCCUGGAAGAGAGCAGGGCUGGGGAGGCUUUUGGGCCUAGCAAAGCCAGGCUACCAGGCCUUAGGGGCUGCGAGAGGCAGCCACGACGGGCGGGGCUGCACGAGGCAGUCAUGAAAGGCCGGGCUGCAAGAGGCGGAUGCAGUAGGCUGGGGAAACUGGGGCCAGGGAAGCCCCAGGCCGUAAGGCCUGAAGGCAGAGUUGCAAGAGGCAACUUGGUAGGCAGAGGUAGCAGGUCCACACCCUUUGCCAGGGAGGAGUGGCCUGUAGGGAUUACAGUCUGCCCGGAGACAGGGGCUAGAGAGGGACUGGCAGUGGGUCACUGAGGCCUGGAGGGUGCAAGGGAACUAGGUGUUCCUGGAGAGAGCUGGGUGUUCCCUGGUAGAAUAACUGGGGAUCCUAGGGAGUAGGGAAGACCCUGAAGUAGUGAAGGAAGAACAACGACACCCCAGAAGGGGGUGCAGACAAAGACCUGAGUAGGCACUGCCGGAGGGCAGUACCCUGAAGGCAACGCUGUACCGAUAGAGGACAUGGGGGAAGACCCCAGAGGAAAGGGGCACGUCGGAACAGCCAGCUAAUUCCCCAACAUCACCUUGCUGAACGCACCACGCUGGUGAGUCAACCCCAUUACAAGGGAGUAAUAGGUACCAAGGGCUGGGCAGGAGCUCUGGUUGGAAGGUCUGCAGCUCCCUCUUGUGGCUGAAGAAUUUGCCGUCAGCUUUUUUCCUGUUUCUGAAGAAAGCGGCAAGCACCUUGCCCUGCGUCACAUCAUCGCUAGGGGACAUAGAGUGGUGCAGAGCGAGCACUGUGUUCCCACUGCAAGGCAGAGCCCUGGAUCUUACUCCCGUUUGGGCUGGUCAAGGCAGCGGAUUCAGGAGGAAUAGAACUGGACCUCGCAAGGUGCAGUGAUCAGGGAGGAACCAUAUUAUGAAUAAGGAUUCUGGCUUGUAAUUUCCGCCAAUAAAAUAAUAAAUGUAAUUUUCAGAAACCCAUUCAGACAUAGCUACUAGCAAAAACAGAAAAUGGAAAGGCUUUCACUUCUCAGUGUUGCCAACUCACAAUAUUUAGUAUUUUUCUCAAAUCACAAACCUUUAGGAGUUACGUGAUUAAGAAGUCUUACUUUUUGUUUAAAAAAAAAAAGUUUAAAGCCUCAUAAUUACAGAUGGAAGCUUAAAAGUGAACACAAGCAGUUUAAAAAAACAAGGCAAAUAAAUAAACUCCACAAUUUUAAAAAGUCAGUAUCAAGUCUUACGAUGACAUGACUUUUUAAUGUUUGGAGUUAGUGUUACUGCUGCCAAUUCAAACUGCUUGAGUAAAACAUAGCUGCUAAGGCUGUAUGCAAAUGAACUAGAUUUUAUGCAAAUGAACUAAUGCUAUGUAUACAUAUUUGAUUAACACACUCUGCUCAUUUGCAUAACACUACUGCUAUCAAAUCAGAGUUGCCUGUUUCACUCCCCUCCCAGACUCCCAAAUUUUUCCUCCAUAAGUUUCCCCAGCCUUUUACUUCCUCUUCCCAACCUGACUGUUGUGCAGGGUUUCUUGCUUCA